CGGAAACUAUAGAAAUCAGUGACGAUGAUGACAAACAAACAACCACAAGGAAAGUGUCAUUAACCACACCUGAGUCAACAGUUCAAACCAGGGCAGCUGUGCUGGCAAGACCUAAUUUCAGUCCGAUACAUUGCUCAGGAAAAGAGAUAGAAAACUUUUUUGGGGGAACUUGACAGCGGUGGCUACAUCACAGCACUUUUGGCAGCAUGUCCCGUCAAACGUCCGGCAAAUUUUGGAAGAAAAGUUUCUAUGAAACAAUCCUUGGCUG